rnacentral:rRNA from 1 species
CCCCUAGAUGUUCUGGGCCGCACGCGCGCUACACUGAACAGUUCAACAAGUCUUAACCUUGGCCGAUAGGUCUGGGUAAUCUUUGAACGCUGUUCGUGAUUGGGAUAGACCUUUGCAAUUAUGGGUCUUCAACGAGGAAUUCCUAGUAAACGCAAGUCAUCAGCUUGCAUUGAUUACGUCCCUGCCCUUUGUACACACCGCCCGUCGCACCUACCGAUUGAAUGGUCCGGUGAAAUCUCGGGACGGCGGCUUGGUCGCUUGCGUCCGACUGCUGAAACUUGAUUAAACCAUAUCAUCUAGAGGAAGGUGAANUCGUANCA